rnacentral:snRNA from 1 species
GUGCUUGCUUUGGCAGCACAUAAAGUUGGAAAGAUACGGAGAAGAUUAACAUGGCCCCUGCACAAGGAUGACAUGCAAAUUUGUGAAGUGUUCCACAUUAAA